CAAAGGAUAGGUGCAGAGACUCAAUGGAAGCUGUUCUAACAAAUGGAAUUGACGUUGACUACGUUGCGUUGGUAGCUGGAAUCCCUCUAUCGAAAUUACAGAAAGAAAGGAUGACCCUAUAUGCGUAUAUAUACAUACUGACAUAUCAAACGAUUAAUCACAACUCAAAUCUGGAAUCCAUAUUAUUAAUUAACUAUAACUAUAUAUAUAUAGAUAUUAUAUAUAUCUAGAUAUUAUAGUUAUUAUUAUCUAUAUUGUCUUUAUAUAUUUAAUAAAGAUAUAUUUUUUUUUUUUUUAUAAAUUUAUAGAUUAAUUAAGAGUUAUUAUAAAUAUAUUCCAGUCGAAGUUGAAGGAAGAAUCGAAUAUUCAGUGAUCAAAUCAUUCAUUCCGGGGUCGGAUAGAUCUUUUGAAAAAAUGAUUAAUCGGACGAGAAUAAAGAGAGAGUCCUGUUCUACGUGUCAAUACCGACAGCAAUGAAAUUUAUAGUAUUAGGAAAAUCCGUCGACUUUAGAAAUCGUGA
rnacentral:precursor_RNA from 1 species